CACAGACCUAAAACUACCACGGAGAACUCUCUCUCUCUCUCUCUCUCUCUCUCUCUCUCUCUCAAUCAGUCAGUCGAUCGAGCGGCGCCCCGCUCCGGCCACCUCCCUCUCUCCCAACGAAGAGAAUAUCUUCAUCGUCUCCCUCUCUCUCCUGAGAUCCUUUCACUACGAAGUCAACCAUAACCAAACCCCAAAAUCAAAGAUUUCCCAUCACCGAAAGCGAAAUCUCGUGGGCUGGAACCAAGGCCCAGAUCAUGCGGCUUCGACCGCGAGAUUUCAGGCCAAAAAAUUCUGUUAUGGGAUAGGUUAAGAUCCCAGAGCCAGGCGAGGAACUGAGGUCACCACCGACGAAUUUGGUUCAGGGUCCCACAGAUCUAUUGGGUCUCGACUUGGACACAGUCCAGAAGCAUUUUCAUCUCUUCUUUCUUCUCCAUUCGUGUUGCAUGUAUACUAUUUUUAGUUGGUGAUGUUUUCUCCCUUCCUGAUUUUUGUUGCAAGUUCGCUUUUGUGGCUCUAUUCUGAAAUCGUGUAGUAAUAUUCCUCUUUACCACGGCUCUUUAGGGUUUCUGAUUAUAAAGCUUCUAAUUACAUUGUUGAUGUUUGCAUGCGGUAUUUGAUUUACAAACUUAGGGCAAUUAUGUUGGGUAGUCCGGAAAAUAUGUUUUAAUAUGCUGAAAGUUAUUGUUAAGCUACAAUUUAGUGCCUAAUCUGCAAAGGUAUGUUUGCAUUACAUAUUAAGGAUAUCCCAUUAUACUAUAUCUGAAAAAGAUUUUGUAUUUCCCUCGGGGCCAUUUUGUUCAUGAUUUCUCUGUCAUCUUUGCAGAUUUUCAUGAUUUCUCUGUCAUCUUUGCAGAUUAGACUUUAUAUUUUGUAUGCAUUUAUCAACCAUUCUCUCAAGUCAAUCUAAAGAAUAUUUUAUUGAACUUGGUUGGCUUUGUUAGUGACCCCUGAUUCUUUCCUAGACUGUGGCUGGGAACUCUCUCAUCACUGUAUAUCUUUGGUAGUUUGAUCUCUGGAAGUGCUUUGGUUGUCUGAGAUAGUACCUGGUUCUUUUCUUCAUUCUCUGUACUCCACAAGAAUUGCAAAGUUAGAUAGAUUUUUAAUGCAAACUUUCCAUGUAUCGAAAUGCUGUAAUUGGCCUACUCCAGCUUCUAGCAUCAAUAACUUCAGUUCUUUAGGGGUUUUUAAUCCGUUGCCACUUGAUUAUUUUGAUGAUGUUAUUGCAUUGUUGAUAUCCUUCAGGCGUGGGUAGAAAAUGUAAGAAAAUGCGUCUCAGAAAAAUCACAGGCUACAGUCGAGGCAGAUAUCCUUUACCAUUUACUAUCGGAGGUUGAGUUAUGCGGCUUAUGCCAGGCUCAGUGCAAGGAGAUGCUGAAAGGUUCAAUAAAUCUUAAGAAACUUGAGGCACUUUUUCAGGAAUUGGAUGAUUUCACUAUCAACAUUCCGAAGUUAAAACUUUUGAAGCAAUAUCGCAGUGAUGCUAUCUUGUGGAUUUCCUGUUUGAAUGGGAGGAUCAGGAAAAUGUGGUGAACGAGAUGUCUUCCAUUCAAAGGGAUGGAGAAUUGUUGAAAAUUUAAGUUAAUGAGUCAUCUCAGGUUGAGUUGAAGAAGGCUUGUUGCAGGGUAAAGGCCCUGAAGGCUCUCAGAAGUAAGAUGUCCUUGGACUUCAUCCAAGUAAUGACGGAGGCAACCAUGCUGCAGAUUGGGAAGGAGAGGUUGUUUGGCAAUAUUUCUGGAGUACUUUCAACUGCUAUGUUUUGGGAAGAAAGAUCGAGCAACACAUGUUCUUGCUAGUGAAGCUCAGAUGUUUGAUUUUGAGGAUGUUGUAAGGUAUAGUGCUUGUUCAUCCUUGGCAGCUGUGCUUUCUGGCUUGUAUCUUUUUGUAACUUUUGAGUUUCGAUAUUGUAGGACUUUUGAGGACAUAUGUGCUAUUCUACCUUCUGUUGGUGUUCUCAUGGAUGCCUUGUCGGUUGCCAAAUCCUGGUUAAAGAUGUCUGAGCCAUUUUUAGUUAUGCAAUUUGUCGUGCAGAUACUUAUGCAUAUGAAACAAACUUUUGCAGCCUUUUUUUAAUAGGCCUUUUGCAAUAAUAAAUAUAGCGUACUUGUGGGUA